rnacentral:rRNA from 1 species
ACGCACGCUGGCGGCGUGCCUAAUACAUGCAAGUAGAACGCUGAAGAGAGGAGCUUGCUCUUCUUGGAUGAGUUGCGAACGGGUGAGUAACGCGUAGGUAACCUGCCUUGUAGCGGGGGAUAACUAUUGGAAACGAUAGCUAAUACCGCAUAACAAUGGAUGACACAUGUCAUUUAUUUGAAAGGGGCAAUUGCUCCACUACAAGAUGGACCUGCGUUGUAUUAGCUAGUAGGUGAGGUAAUGGCUCACCUAGGCGACGAUACAUAGCCGACCUGAGAGGGUGAUCGGCCACACUGGGACUGAGACACGGCCCAGACUCCUACGGGAGGCAGCAGUAGGGAAUCUUCGGCAAUGGGGGCAACCCUGACCGAGCAACGCCGCGUGAGUGAAGAAGGGUUUCGGAUCGUAAAGCUCUGUUGUAAGUCAAGAACGGGUGUGAGAGUGGAAAGUUCACACUGUGACGGUAGCUUACCAGAAAGGGACGGCUAACUACGUG